UGGAACAAUUAUUUCCACCUGGCAGUUGCCUUCCUCACCCAGGAUUCCCUGCAGCUGGAGAACUUCUCCCAGGCUAAGCGCACCACCAUCCUUGCCAAGUACGGAGACAUGAGAGCCACAAUUGGAGCUGCCAUCCGGGACAUGUGGUACAACCUGGGCCAUCACAAGAUUCGGUUUAUCCCUGGCAUGGUGGGCCCCAUCCUGGAGAUGACGCUGGUACCCGAGCUGGAGCUGCGCAAAUCCACCAUCCCCAUCUUCUUCGACAUGAUGCUGUGUGAGUUCCAGCUGACCAAGAACUUC